rnacentral:rRNA from 1 species
CGCCCCGCAAGGGGAGCGGCAGACGGGUGAGUAACGCGUGGGAACGUACCUUUUGCUACGGAAUAACUCAGGGAAACUUGUGCUAAUACCGUAUGUGCCCUUCGGGGGAAAGAUUUAUCGGCAAAGGAUCGGCCCGCGUUGUAUUAGCUAGUUGGUGAGGUAAAGGCUCACCAAGGCGACGAUCCAUAGCUGGUCUGAGAGGAUGAUCAGCCACACUGGGACUGAGACACGGCCCAGACUCCUACGGGAGGCAGCAGCG